UCUGGUGGUAAUGGAAGUGAGGUCACACCUGUUCCCAUCCCGAACACAGCAGUUAAGCUCACUAUCGCCGAUGGUACUGCACGGGCAACUGUGUGGGAGAGUAGGUCGCCGCCAGAA
rnacentral:rRNA from 1 species